GACGAACGCUGGCGGCGUGCCUAACACAUGCAAGUCGAGCGGUGAAGCUUGGCGCUUGCGCCAAUCUGGAGAGCAGCGAACGGGUGAGUAACGCGUGGGGAAUCCGCCUUUGAGCGGGGGACAACAUUUGGAAACGAAUGCUAAUACCGCAUAACAACUUUAAACAUAAGUUUUAAGUUUGAAAUAUGCAAUUGCAUCACUCAAAGAUGAUCCCGCGUUGUGUUAGCUAGUUGGUGAGGUAAAGGCUCACCUAGGCGUGGAUACAUAGCCGACCUGAGAGGGUGGUCGGCCACCUUGGGACGGGGACACGGCACAAACGGCUACAGGAGCGAGCAGUAGGGCAACGGGGGCAAUGGGCGAGAGUCUGACCGAGAAACGCCGCGUGCGGGAGGAAGGAUUUCGGAUCGUAAAACUCGGUUGGUGGAGAAGAACGUUGGUGAGCGUGGAAAGCACAGCAAGUGACGGUAACUAGCCAAGAAGCGACGGCUAACUACGUG
rnacentral:rRNA from 1 species